AGAGUUUGAUCCUGGCUCAGGAUGAACGCUGGCGGCGUGCUUAACACAUGCAAGUCGAGCGAAGCACUUUUUAGAACUCUUCGGAGGGAAGAGAGGGUGACUUAGCGGCGGACGGGUGAGUAACGCGUGGGCAACCUGCCUUACACAGGGGGAUAACAAUUAGAAAUGAUUGCUAAUACCGCAUAAGACCACGGUACUGCAUGGUACAGUGGUAAAAACUGAGGUGGUGUAAGAUGGGCCCGCGUCUGAUUAGGUAGUUGUGGGGGUAGAAGCCUACCAAGCCGACGAUCAGUAGCCGACCUGAGAGGGCGACCGGCCACAUUGGGACUGAGACACGGCCCAAACUCCUACGGGAGGCAGCAGUGGGGAAUAUUGCACAAUGGGGGAAACCCUGAUGCAGCGACGCCGCGUGAGUGAGGAAGUAUUUCGAUAUGUAAAGCUCUAUCAGCAGGGAAGAAAAUGACGGUACCUGACUAAGAAGCCCCGGCUAACUACGUG
rnacentral:rRNA from 1 species